CUCAGUAAGUCGGAGAGGAAUGCUAACUCGCUCAGAGGAAAAUUAUACAUUAAUAUUUUCGAAGCAGUUACUCUGAAAUCCAAAACACAAACACAUGGAUGUUGUAUGUAUAAAUGUUGUUUUUGUAUUAAAUGUAUGCAAAUAUGUAGUUUUUCAGACCGACCUAAAAUUAUAGCUAACCUGCGAGCUAAAUUAAGCUAAGCUAAGCUAAAUAAGGCUGUCAAAGAGCUCUCGUGCGUCACUACGUGGCCGCGCAUGCGUGAGAAUGGCGCGCACGCGCACUUCAGACGAGUAGGAGCCCCAUGAUGGGGUUUUAGCUGAGCGCUCGGAAGCGUCGCGCAGCGCUGCGAGCCUCGGAGUCCCUGCGCUUUCUGAAGAACAGCAUGAGGGCUGCGGUGAGAUGACAGAGUCCCUGAGGAGCUGCGGGUGACGAGGCGUGACCGUCUCAUGUGAUUAGCGAUGUGAAAGUGUUCACAUUCUCCACCUUCAUCUUUGUUGUCGUUCUUCUUCUCUGGAACAUUUUUGUGUGACUUGUUCUCACACAAGGAAUAACCAGGAUGAAGAAAUUCAGUCUUAACACAAUCAGAAAGUCGCUGAGCAUAAAAGGGAAAGAAGAGAACGAGUACGCGGUGUCACAGCCAGACCUGUCCACUGGUUUUCCUUCAGAACCUUCUCUGUAUGGAGGCUGCUACAGCAAGGACCUCAUGGGAACGAAUUUGGAUAACGAGGAGCUGAAAGGAUCUAAAGGUCACUCUAAAAGCGAGAGUCUGAUGGGAACCCUGAAGAGGAGACUCUCAACGAAGCAGAAACCAAAGGUCAAAGCAAGUUCUCCAUCUGUGCGCUCGAUCGAUGAUGAUGCGUUCUCCUCAUCGUCAGAGCCCAUUAUGUUUCACGACCUGAAAUCGCAGCAUUCUUCUCGCUCGACGUCGUUACAGAGCCACCAUUACAGCCCGACGCCGUGGCCUCUCAGAGUGACGAACUCGGAGGAAGCGUGCAACGCCAGGGUCAACGCUCUGAUCCCAUCCAGCACCUCGAGCUUGUCUCUUAAUGCUGUCCAGAAGAACUUCAUGGGAGACGAGAUGUUUGAUGGUCAGAGUCCGGAUCCUCACAAUGGCGAUCUGGAAAUGGAAGAUCACGUGCCUGUGGUCAUCGGCCUCACCGCUCAGGAAUACAUUCAGUACACGAUGCCUUUAGAAGAUGGACUUUUUACCGAAGACGAACCGCCUCGGUCUUUUUGCCUGGACAGAACGUCGCCGAUGGACGUGUUGCCUCAGAGUGAAUGUUCUCUUCACGCUGACGAAGACUCCAUCAGUCAUGACCUCCUUUCUCCUGAUGUUUUCAUGGAGCCGUCAGUAAACCGGCUCAUUCUGAACACCGCUAAUGUUCUGCUGCAGAGCUCACGCCUAGAGUCUCCUCUGCUACCUCCACUUCCUGUUAGUAGCCUUCCUGGGUUCCAUGGUGCCCAGGUAGCUGAUUCGGUUCUGGAGCAUCUCAGCUUUGAUCCGAACUCGGCGCCAGGAGUCCAGCGGGUGUACGACGCGGUGCAGACCAGUGGGCCGAUGGUGGUCACGAGCCUCACGGUGGAGCUGAAGAAACUGGCCAAGCAGGGAUGGUACUGGGGUCCAAUCACGCGCUGGGAAGCUGAAGAGAAGCUCGCAAACCUUCCGGAUGGUUCCUUUUUGGUUCGAGACAGUUCAGACGAGCGCUAUCUUCUCAGUUUGAGUUUUCGGUCGCAAGGAAAGACGCUUCAUACUCGAAUUGAGCAUUCCAACGGCUCCUUCAGCUUCUACGAGCAGCCCGACAUGGAAGGCCACACGUCCAUCGUCGAGCUCAUCGACAAUUCCAUCAGGGAUUCAGAGAAUGGAGCGUUCUGCUACUCCAGAUCGCGCUUACCGGGCUCUGUGACAUACCCCGUCAGACUGACCAAUCCCGUCUCGCGGUUUAUGCAGGUGCGAUCGCUGCAGUACUCGUGCCGGUUCGUGAUCCGUCAGUACACGCGCAUAGACCUAAUCCAGAAACUGCCUUUACCGAACAAAAUGAAAGAUUACCUGCAGGAGAAGCACUACUGAGCCCACAGGACGCACGAUGCUUCUUGCACUUUUUAGGAUGUCAUAAUGAACAAACCGUCUCUUUGUGGCUCAUCGCGGCAUUAAAUUCCACGUUUUUAACUUUUUCACCAGAGGAAACAUUUUUUGUUCAGUGUUAGAUGAAAUUAAUCAAACAAAAAAACCCUGAGAAACUGUAAAGAAUCGUGAACUCCUCUGCCCUGAAGACAUCAGAAAGUUUACAGUUCCAGCUUCACCUCUGACUGAUACACCGCGCUCGCGCUGGAGACUCCUUCCCUACAGAACACUAACAUUGUCGGUGAUUGAUUUAUUUAAAAAAUCUGUUUAUUAUUAGCUGAGCGUCCGGUUGUGCACAUCCCUGUGAAUGAGCUGUUGCUAUGGAAACGAUACCGUAUUAGUCCGAGUGCAUUAAUAUAAUCCUGUGAUGUGCAGCUACGCUACAGUCAGAGAAUUAAUCAACGUCGUUAACACUGACCAAUCACAAUCCAGAAUUCCAGUGCAUCCAGAGUGCUGUGUUGUCAGUGAACUCAUCAGGAUUGAAUUAUGGGAUGUCGCGCCCAGAUUUGGAUGCAUGAUGUCUGAAAUAAGACUCGCACGUUCGGUCUUCUGAUAGGUUAUGUUGAAUAUCGUAUCGCAGAUUAUUGGCACGUGCCUGAUUUUGUUUGCGUUUCUUGGUCAUGUGAUUUAACACUGUUUAUUUUGUUGUUGUUCCAAUUACUUUGUUGGAAUUUUAUUAUACUUGGAUGAAAUAUUGUGUUCAGUGGGCGUGUGCUGAUAUGACACCUUUAUAUCACGGAAAUGCGAAUCGAUAAUAAAUUACGUUUUGUUUUAACAUCCAACUGCGAGUAACUUUGGAGUUGUUUGGUGUUAAUAAUGAGAUUUAAAAAAAAAUUUAUCAGAAUAUAAUUUCUCAAUAUCAGGACCACACCAUGUGACUUUUCCCUCCUGUCUUGAAAUAAAUACUGCGAAGAGUUCAGGAUGACAUCACACACAAUUCCGCAGGUCUCUCAUAAUGACCUGAUCCAAAACAACUUCUCGUUAUUGGUACUUUUUUAUUUUUCUACCUGAGCUUGAUCCUGCUCUUGUAGUUUAGGAGUGGUGAUGGAGUGAUGUUGGAGUCUGUGGUCAUGGACGACGGAUGUACAUGUGAAUGUUUGUCACGCUGCUUGUCUCUUUUAGCGCCGUGAUGUUCUACGUGAGCACUGGUGCACAGACGAUGUGUUCCGGUGGCUUCUCUCGUUACUUGAAUCCUUGUUGUGCUUUGCUCUGAGGUUUAAAUGUGUGAUGAUUCAAUCUGCCCAUUUUAUUUCUCGUAUCAGUUUAUUUGCUGCUCACGUCAUCACCAUGAGUGCACGGAGUGUUUCGCUCGCUAAUCACUCGGUUUAGGUAAAAACUAAACCCGUACGUUAUUGAGUUUAUCAAGUUUGCAUCGUCAGCUAGAUAAAUUUAACCCUUGGAACAAUUUCUUGUGAUCUGCACCAAAAAAUAUAAUGCUAUGAUUCAUAUUCCUGAGCUGGUGUGGGCGGAGCUUCAUCACAUUCAGUAGACGUGUAGUGAAAUAUCUCGCGCACAGGUUUGUUUUUUUCCCCUCACUCUGUAACACCGUUGUUGUUUUUAUAUUGUUUGUGAAACAGAUGAAUGACGGUGUAAAAUUCGUGGUGAUAUUGCGUUACAUUUUACUGAUCACAACGUUGUAUUUUAAAGCUGCAAUGUGUCGCUUUUUAUCGUCCAGACACCACUUUUAUUAUAAUCGACCUGUCAAGCCACGCCCCUCCAGAUUUUAUAAGAUAAAUCUGAGUGACGCACCCAGAAAAAAUUUGCAUCUUGUGUGAAUCUGUAAAAAAUUUGUGACAUUAAAGACUAAAUCCACUCUCAGAAUUCCAACUCGGGUGUUUUACGCUCGCCAUGUUUUAAAGAAUUUUUUCUUUAAUUAAAUGUUAGUUUAAAAAUAUAUAACAAAAAAAGUACUGCAGCUUUAAAAUAACGCUGUGAUUUUGUUGUGUACCAGUUCUCAUUGUGCUGAAUUUUAACAGAAAAAUGAAGAAUUAUCAUUUCGUCCAUUCUGUCAAUUUUUUUUUCCUACCGUAUGAUGAUUCUGAGAAUGGUGUACGAAGUUUUUUUCCAAAAUAAUUUGUCCAAAAUCUGGACAGUUGUGUUUAUGCUGCUUUUUAAAUGUGAGCACAAUAAUAAUGCUACCUGCGAAGACGUCUUCGUCAUGAACGUCUCAAACACGAGGUCGAGGAUACUUUAAACUUCCCAUGAUUUAAAAAUGUUGUACGUGAAUAUUCCGAUAUAUCGUGUAAGUGAUCAGCACAGGCCGAGCUGAGCGCUGAUUUGUUUCCUGUUUUUAGGGAAGGGAUCAUUUUGUUUUGGGAUUUUCUUCAUUUUGUCCUCGUUGGUACUGUGUGUGUGUGUGUGUGUGUGUGUGUGUGUUGGACUUCUUGGCUGUCCCUCAGUCCACAUGUUUUAUGGAUAAAUAUUUUUGAAUGAAAUUUCUGUUCAUGGAGGAAAGGUGAAGGUGCGAUUGUCCCGUGUUGUUUUUUGUUCCGUUAACACACAUGAGGAAGAACUCGUCCAGGUUUUCAGACAUUUUCACACGAACGUAUUUUAAAUCUGGGGAAAGGAAAGGAAAGCUGUGUGCUGGUUUUUAUUAUCGCACAUUUUGAGCUCAAUGUUUUGUAUCUCCUCUGAAAUGUAAAUAA